rnacentral:piRNA from 1 species
UGGUUCCAGCACCCCAGUUCUUUCCUGAUA